rnacentral:lncRNA from 1 species
GGGGGGGGUUGGGGUGACGUAGAGAAACCCCCCCCCAAAAAAAUCGGGGGGGGAGGGGUCCUGGAGCUGGUGUCCUCAAGGUCCCCGAGGUCCUCAGGGUGGUGACACCAAGGGCCUGGAGCUCAUGACCCUGGUGGCCCCAAAACGACGUCUCCUGGGGGUCCCCAACCUGGAGGAACCCAAGACGGUGGAUUCCAAGGUCCCCAAGACCAUGUCCCCGAGGUCCCCGAGGUGGUGACACCAAGGUCCUGGAGCUCAUCAUGUCCCUGGUGUCCCCAGGGUGGUGGCCUCAGGGGUCCCCAAGCUGGAGGACCCCAAGGUCCCCAAGGUGGAGGACCCCAAGGUCCCCAAGACCAUGGACUCCAAGGUCCCAGAGCUCUUGUCCCCAAGGUCCCCAAGGUGGUGGCCUCGGGGGUCCCCAAGCUGGUGGACCCCAAGGUCCCCAAGGUGGUGGCCUCAGGGGUCCUCAAGCUGGUGGACCCCAAAGUUCUUGUCCCCGAUGUCCCCGAGGUGGCAUCUCCUGGGGGUCCCCAACCUGGAGGCCCCCAAGGUGGGGGAGGACCCCAAGGUCCUGGAGCCCCCAAGGUCCCCCCGAGGUCCCUGGUGUGGGGGGUGGGGCCUCGGGGGGGUCCCGGAGCUGGUGG